GUAACAGGGAUAACCUACCUAUAAGACUGGGAUAACUUCGGGAAACCGGAGCUAAUACCGGAUAAUAUUUUGAACCGCAUGGUUCAAAAGUGAAAGACGGUCUUGCUGUCACUUAUAGAUGGAUCCGCGCUGCAUUAGCUAGUUGGUAAGGUAACGGCUUACCAAGGCAACGAUGCAUAGCCGACCUGAGAGGGUGAUCGGCCACACUGGAACUGAGACACGGUCCAGACUCCUACGGGAGGCAGCAGC
rnacentral:rRNA from 1 species